rnacentral:rRNA from 1 species
ACGCGAAAGUCCCCUUCGGGGGACAAGUAGAGUGGCGCACGGGUGAGUAACACGUAGGUAAUCUACCUUCGGAUGGGGAAUAACAACCGGAAACGGUUGCUAAUACCGCAUAAUGCAGCGGCACCUAAUGGUGACAGUUGUUAAAGCGGGGGAUCAAAAGACCUCGCGUCUGAAGAGGAGCCUGCGGCGGAUUAGCUAGUUGGUAGGGUAACGGCCUACCAAGGCGACGAUCCGUAGCCGGCCUGAGAGGGCGGUCGGCCACACUGACACUGACAUACGGGUCAGACUCCUACGGGAGGCAGCAGUCGGGAAUUUUGGGCAAUGGGCGAAAGCCUGACCCAGCAACGCCGCGUGAAGGAUGAAAUCCCUCGGGAUGUAAACUUCGCAAGAACGGGAAGAAUAAGUAGGGGACAAUACCCCCUAUGAUGACGGUACCGUUUGUAAGCUCCGGCUAACUCCGUGCCAGCAGCCGCGGUAAUACGGGGGGAGCAAGCGUUG